rnacentral:tRNA from 1 species
UCCCUGGCGGUCCAGUGGUUGAGACUCUGCGCUCCCAGUGCAGGGGGCACAGGUUCAAUACCUGGUCAGGGAA